UGGGAUUACAGGUGUGCACCAUAAUGCCCU
rnacentral:piRNA from 2 species